AGUGGCGGACGGGUGAGGUAACGCGUGGGUAACCUGCCAUAUACAGGGGGAUAACACUUAGAAAUAGGUGCUAAUACCGCAUAAGCGCACAGUUUCGCGUGAAACAGUGUGAAAAACUCCGGUGGUAUAUGGAUGGACCCGCGUCUGAUUAGCCAGUUGGUGAGGUAACGGCUCACCAAACGCAACGAUCAGUAGCCGGCCUGAGAGGGUGAACGGCCACAUUGGGACUGAGACACGGCCCAAACUCCUACGGGAGGCAGCAGUGGGGAAUAUUGGACAAUGGGGGAAACCCUGAUCCAAGGCGACGCCGCGUGAGUGUAAGAAGUAUUUCGGUAUGUAAAGCUCUAUCAGCAGGGAAGAUAAUGACGGUACCUGACUAAGAAGCCCCGGCUAACCACGUGCCAGCCGCUGC
rnacentral:rRNA from 1 species